rnacentral:rRNA from 1 species
AUUGAACGCUGGCGGCAUGCUUUACACAUGCAAGUCGAACGGCAGCACGGGGGCAACCCUGGUGGCGAGUGGCGAACGGGUGAGUAAUAUAUCGGAACGUACCCGGAAAUGGGGGAUAACGUAGCGAAAGUUACGCUAAUACCGCAUACGAUCUACGGAUGAAAGCGGGGGAUCGCAAGACCUCGCGCGAAUGGAGCGGCCGAUAUCAGAUUAGGUUGUUGGUGAGGUAAAAGCUCACCAAGCCUGCGAUCUGUAGCUGGUCUGAGAGGACGACCAGCCACACUGGAACUGAGACACGGUCCAGACUCCUACGGGAGGCAGCAGUGGGGAAUUUUGGACAAUGGACGAAAGUCUGAUCCAGCAAUGCCGCGUGCAGGACGAAGGCCUUCGGUUGUUAAACGUAGACUUUUGUUACAGAACGAAAAAGU